rnacentral:rRNA from 1 species
CAGUCGAACGGAACUGUUUUGAAAGAUUUCUUCGGAAUGAAUUUGAUUUAGUUCAGUGGCGGACGGGUGAGUAACGCGUGAGUAACCUGCCUUCAAGAGGGGGAUAACAUUCUGAAAAGAAUGCUAAUACCGCAUGACAUAUCGGAACCACAUGGUUCUGAUAUCAAAGAUUUUAUCGCUUGAAGAUGGACUCGCGUCCGAUUAGUUAGUUGGUGAGGUAACGGCUCACCAAGACCGCGAUCGGUAGCCGGACUGAGAGGUUGAACGGCCACAUUGGGACUGAGACACGGCCCAGACUCCUACGGGAGGCAGCAGUGGGGGAUAUUGCGCAAUGGGGGCAACCCUGACGCAGCAACGCCGCGUGAAGGAUGAAGGUUUUCGGAUUGUAAACUUCUUUUAUUAAGGACGAAAAUUGACGGUACUUAAUGAAUAAGCUCCGGCUAACUACGUGCCAGCAGCCGCGGUAAUACGUAGGGAGCAAGCGUUGUCCGGAUUUACUGGGUGUAAAGGGUGCGUAGGCGGCUUUGCAAGUCAGAUGUGAAAUCUAUGGGCUCAACCCAUAAACUGCAUUUGAAACUGUAGAGCUUGAGUGAAGUAGAGGCAGGCGGAAUUCCCCGUGUAGCGGUGAAAUGCGUAGAGAUGGGGAGGAACACCAGUGGCGAAGGCGGCCUGCUGGGCUUUAACUGACGCUGAGGCACGAAAGC